GAGGGUACAGCUUAGUGGUAGAGCGCUUGCUUAGCAUGCACAAGGUCCUGGGUUCAAUCCCCAGUACCUCCA
rnacentral:tRNA from 1 species